AUGCCUGGGAAACUCCUUGGGGGGACAUUAUGGAGCUGGAAAUACCCUUGGAGGAGUCUGAGAGCCAGAAGAAGGAGAGGCAAAAGUGCUGGAGUGACAGAAGGAAGUCAAGGCACCAUUAUGACUCAGAUGAGAAAUCAAAAACAAGAGAAAAUGGUGUUACAGAUGACCUGGAUGUUCCCAAGGCCAAAAAAGAAAAAAAAAAAAAAAAAAACUAAAAUGAAAGAAAAGCUAAAUGGAGACACUGAAGAAGGAUUUUAUAGACUUUCAGAUGAAUUCUCUAAAUCUCAUAAGAAGAAAAGAUCUACCAAAUGGAAAUAUUGAUGAAUAUGAAAAAAAAUCAAAGCGAAUAUCAUCCUUAGAUAGUUCUACUCAUAAAUCAAGUGAUAAUAAACUAGAGGAGACCUUAACACGUGAAUAGGAAGAAGGAGCCUUCUCUUAUUUCUGUAUUUCUGAAGAGACUAUAAAGUUUCUGAAAGGUUGAGGGGUAACAUAUCGCUUUCCUAUUCAAGUUAAGACCUUGUCCUGUAUAUGAAGGAAAAGAUUUAAUAGCUCGAGCAUGGACAGGAACAGGAAAGACUUUUUUUUUUUUGCCAUCCCUUUGAUUGAAAGACUCCAAAGAAAUUAAGAAACAAUUUUUAAAAAGCUGCUCACCAAAGAAAGGUACUUGUUUUGGCUCCAACUAGGGAACUGGCAAACCAAGUAGCCAAAGACUUCAAAGAUAAAACUAGGAAAUUCAGCAUGGCAUGUUUUUAUGGUGGAACACCAUAUCAAAGCCCAAUUAAUCAUAUGCAAAAUGGUAUUGACAUCUUGGUUGGAACCCCUGGUCAUAUGAAGACCGUCUGCAGAGUGGCUGAUUGGAUCUUUCUAAACUGCACCAUGUUGUGCUUGAUGAAGUGGAUCAAAUGUUAGAUUUAGGUUUUGAUGAGCAAGUUGAAUAUGUGAUUCACGAAUCCUACAAAACUGAUUCUGAAGACAAUCCUCAGACUUUACUUUUUUCUGCAACUUGCCCACAGUGGGUAUACAAAGUUGCAAAAAAAAUUACAUGAAAUCCAGAUAUGAACAGGUUGACCUUGUUGGAAAAAUGACUCAAAAGGCUGCAACUACUGUGGAACACUUGGUCAUUCAGUGUCAUUGGUCUCAGAGGCCAGCAGUUACUGGAGAUGUCCUUCAAGUCUACAGUGGGUCUGAAGGGAGGGCUAUUAUUUUCUGUGAGAACAAGAAGAAUGUAACUGAAAUGGCCAUGAAUCCACAUAUAAAACAGAAUGCCCAGUGUUUACAUGGGGACAUUGCACAGUCACAAAGAGAAAUUACACUAAAAGACUUCAGAGAAGAUAGUUUUAAAGUUUUGGUGGCAACCAAUGUGGCUGCCCAUAGUUUGCACAUUCCUGAAGUAGACCUGGUGAUUCAACAUUCUCCUCCUCAGGAAGUUGAGUCCUAUAUCCAUCGCUCUGGAUGCACAGGUAGAGCUGGACAGGGAUUUGUAUAUGUUUUCAUCAACCAAGAGAAAGAGGUCAACUAAGAUAUGUGGAACAAAAAGCAGCAAUUACUUUUAAACGUGUAGGUGUUCCUUCUACAAUGGAUUUGGUUAAAUCUAAAAGCAUGGAUAUCAUCAGGUUUCUGACUUCCGUUUCUUAUGCUGCUGUUGAUUUUUUCUGACCAUCAGCUCAGGGACCGAUAGAAGAGAAAGGGGCGCCGGUGGAUGCAUUGGCUACAACUUUAGCCCACAUUUCUGGUGCAUCAAGCUUUGAACCACGAUCUUUGAUCGCCCUUGAAGACCAUGACUCUGGAAAGCCUAGAGGAAAUACAGGAUGUCACCUGUGCCUGGAAAGAAUGCAGUGUCUCGGAUUACCAGCAUGUGUCACCUGAAAGGAAAUAUAGGUGUUUGCUUUGGUGUUUCUACAACUGAGUCAGAAAGGUUACAGGCAGAGUCGCAUGAUUCCAACUGGAUACUCUCAGUGCCAGGCAAAUUACCUGAAACUGAAGAAUAUUAUGAUGGAAAGAACUCUAAUCCCAGACAGAGGAGUGACUGGUCAAGUGGCUGGUCGGGCAGGUCAGGCGGGUCAGGUGGUCGAUCUGGUGGCUGGUCAGGUAGACAGAGUCCACAAGGGAGUCACUCAGGAGGUUGAAAAGAUGGUAGAAGACGAAGUGGGAAUAGAAAUCGAUCAACAAGUGAGGGCCACAAAUGGAGUUUUGAUAGAGUAUUUGAUAGUUAA